AUUGAACGCUGGCGGCAGGCCUAACACAUGUAAGUCGAACGAGUGGCGGACGGGUGAGUAAUGUCUGGGAAACUGCCCGAUGGAGGGGGAUAACUACUGGAAACGGUAGCUAAUACCGCAUACCAUCGGAUGUGCCCAGAUGGGAUUAGCUAGUAGGUGGGGUAACGGCUCACCUAGGCGACGAUGCCUAGCUGGUCUGUGAGGAUGACCAGCAACACUGGAAUUGGGACACGGCCCAGACGCCUACGGUAGGCAGCAGUGGGGAAUAUGGCACAAUGGGCGCAAGCCUGAUGCAGCCAUGCCGCGUGUAUGAAGAAGGCCUUCGGGUUGUAAAGUACUUUCAGCGGGGAGGCGUUACCCGCAGAAGAAGCACCGGCUAACUCCGUGCCAGCAGCCGCGGUAAUUC
rnacentral:rRNA from 1 species